GCUUUCAGAAGCACAUAGAAACCCACGGGGAAGAAGAGCAGGAACACAGUCACGCUGAUGUUCUUCCUCAGACCGGCGCUCUAGAUCCACUGCACUCUGGAGAAUAUUUCUGCUACAAUUAUAACAGUACGAGGUUUAGCCAGUCCCCAACCACAGCCACCCAGAUGAGUUCGACACCCACGUCUCUGCGCAGAUGAAACCUAAUGGGGAAAAACACAAAGAAGGUGGCGUAGAGAUCCGCCACAGAGGAGACCCACUGAAACAGAUUCUCAGAGUCCUGGUACUCCAUCUGCAAAUAGACGGCUAGGUUCACCCCCCAGCUGUGGAGCAGGUCUAUCUCCGCAGUCUGAGAUCAGGACAGUAACUCGGAAAAGCGGAGGACAGACACAAGGCACAGGGAUGGGGAUCAAACUGCAGAUGCGCAGGCAGCCUGCCAGGCUUCGACCAGCCGUCACACCCUGGUUUUCUGUUCUAGUUGGACUUUAUUCAAGGCUAGAUGGAUUGGUUUUGUUUGCAUGUUGACUGGAGAACUCAGAGGCCCUCGAUUUCAGGACCUUUCACCUGUGAUGACGCUGAUGGGACACAUACUGAUAAAAUGCUGAGUGGACAGACUGAUUAGUUUUGCCUUUGGUUUUAUGGAGUGUGAUGUCACUGUGGUCACAUUUUGGAAUGAUGCAUUUAAAGCAAAUGAUCUAGUUUUAAUGGUCCUGUCUGGCUUGUAAUCAUGGGAAAAAGAAUGAACCAUACUGUCCUGCAGGACAGAUUCAUUGAUCCAUUCGUGUUCUGACUUGUGACAUUUUGUUUUGGUUAACUUCAUGGUAUUCUGUCUUACAAAGAGUUUGUUUGUUUUUUCUCAUUUGUGCAUAUUUUUUUAAAAAUAGCACUUAUUAUUGAAAUAAUAUACUUGUGUACAAAUUGAAUGUAAUGUUAUUUGGACACUUCAUUGCAUGUUCUUUACAAUGAAAUGAAAAUGUAUUGUAGUUCAUAUUUAAAAUAGCUUUUUAACCAAUAUGAUGCAAGUUCAUAAUUCUUUCUCUUGUCUUUGAAAUAUGGUUAAAGUUGAACGUAAUGUCGAGCAUUUAUGUUAAACUAAAUUCUACUUAAAUGUACAGUAAUUUCUAUUGAAAGUGUAUAUUGUGUAAAUACUACCUUUAAAUGCAAUCUCAAAUAACACACUAUGAUUAAAAAUCAACUCAACUAC